rnacentral:rRNA from 1 species
CUACGUAGGUGACAAGCGUUAUCCGGAUUUACUGGGUGUAAAGGGCGUGUAGGCGGUUUGGCAAGUCAGAAGUGAAAUUCCCGGGCUUAACUUGGGCGCUGCUUCUGAAACUGCUUAACUUGAGUGCUGGAGAGGAUAGUGGAAUUCCUAGUGUAGCGGUAAAAUGCGCAGAUAUUAGGAGGAACACCGGUGGCGAAGGCGGCUAUCUGGACAGUAACUGACGCUGAGGCGCGAAAGUGGGGGGAGCAAACAGGAUUAGAUACCCUGGUAGUCCACGCCGUAAACGAUGAUUACUAGGUUUUGGUUGUCAUAGACAAUCGGUGCCGCAGCAAACGCAAUAAGUAAUCCACCUGGGGAGUACGGUCGCAAGAAUGAAACUCAAAUGAAUUGACGGGG